rnacentral:rRNA from 1 species
UACGGGGGGGGCAAGCGUUGUUCGGAAUUACUGGGCGUAAAGGGCGCGUAGGCGGUGUGUCGCGUCGGCCGUGAAAACCUGGGGCUUAACUCUGGGCGUGCGGUCGAUACGGGCAUCACUAGAGUUCGGCAGGGGAGACUGGAAUUCCUGGUGUAGCGGUGAAAUGCGCAGAUAUCAGGAGGAACACCGGUGGCGAAGGCGGGUCUCUGGGCCGAUACUGACGCUGAGGAGCGAAAGCAUGGGUAGCGAACAGG